AAGUUUCUCCUUCAGUAUCGGUUUUGUGUUGCAUAGCACGACUGACAUCUAGAGGACAAAAUAUAACAUAUCCUUUCUAGACUGAAGACAUGCAUCUUCCAACAGAUGGCGCUACAGGAAAGAAAAAUACAUCAUAUUCUAAUCAUGCCACAAACCUGAGAUGAUGAUGAAACGGCUGGAGCAGCUCUUCUCUGUAAUGUUAAUUAAUCAACUUCCAGUUGUAUCUCUCUCCGUCAGGUUGUUUUUCUGUGCUGCUACAGGUGAUAUAUGUUACAGUACAUGUUCCACCAAAAACAAUGAGAUAGAGAAUGAUGAUAAACCCUUGAAUUAUGAAUGCAUAGCUGCAGCAGCCUGAUUUAGAGCAUGUUUCAGUUGAAUAGUGAUAAUGUUAAAACUGUUUUUCAAUGGUAUGGUGAUUUUUCAGACAUUUAGGUGAUUGGAUACCUUCGAAACAUCACUGUAAGACACAUCUAUGAGGUUCUAUCACAGAUGAUGUCCACCUGACCUAUGGUCACCUCUAACUCGCCACAGAGACCAGAGCAGCUCCAGAGAGAUCUCUUCUGCUUUGUCAGUCACAUCAGGAAGGAAAACACAGUUUGAAAUGAUUCUCCUCCUAAGUCAAUAAGAUCUGGAUACUACUCCUAGGUGUGGCCUACACGUAAAACAGGAAGGCGAUUCCAAUGCCCAGAGUCGCAAAACCAGGACGAACAGUCACACCCGACUCGAAUCAUAGAGGUCAAAUGUAUUUAAUUUCCCCAAUAUAAGAAAUGAAUAAAAGCUCUAAUACAAAACAUGGAUAUACGUCGAUGACUGUGAUUAUAGGAAACAAGAAUCUUUUGUCACACAGGACAGUUGUGCACAACAGUGGGACUUAUAGGGGAAACUAUACAUUGGAAGUGUACGUGUACAGCGUUACACAUUAUUUCACAUUUAUGUUGAACAUGGACUUAUUGUGCUACCAAAAGGAAGUAAACAACAAAGACAAAACAGCAUGUAAGACCAGAGUUGAACCGCAUUGCAGUUUUACCUCAACAGGUGUUGGACUAGGUCUUCCAACACAGUUACAGUGCAUUUCGAACUGACUUGUAAAGGCAGGUAAAGUUGCAUUUCUGGAUGACUCUGAGUGUGUCACGAUGCACACAAUCUAAUACGUUGUACUAUAUUCACUGCAUUGCACUUUUAAGAUUUCAGUUUAUGAAACACAAGAACAUCAUUAUUAUUGUAUAGCAUCGCUAGAUUUCCCGCAGCUACAUAACAAUAAGCAAUAAUGCUCAUUGUCAAAUUAUUAACACAUCAUUUUCAGCCCAAACGUGGCUUUGUUUAUAGGGCUUGACAUGACCAUUCUGACCACAAAUAGAAUAUGUAUGUAUUAACAAGUGAUGAGAACGGCCUUUUGGUUUUUAAAAGCCAUUUAACAGACUCUCUUCAAAGUCAAAUCCAUUCGAUGAUGAUUGGCACAAGAAUGUAACGCAAGAAAAAUAACCUGUUGAUCUUUAAUCUUUAGACGUUUCUGUCUAGUGCCAAGAAAUCUGUGUUGUCGUACAUCUACAUUCUGGUGAAUCUCACAACAACUAUUUAAUAGUAGUCCUUCUACAGUUAUACACAUUAUUGGUAAAGCUAUUCUAAAUACAUACUCAUCUCUUUAUAACUUUUAUCCACAAUGCCAGCAAUGCAAUCAUGCGACUAAUUCAUUUCUAAAAUAUUCUUUAAGGGUUCAUCAGUGAGGAUUUCACUUCACAAUAAAGGAUUUGGUAAGAUAAAUGAGGGAGACAAUGAGAAAGAGAGGGGGGCUGGAACAGAGAUAACAAGUUCUGGGCCAAAUGCAACGGUGACAGGGGGUCAUUGACUCCACAAAUACGUUUUUAUACACAAAAUAUGGACAUUUUCUGCUGAGUACUUUUUUCUGGGGUUUCAAUGAUGAACAUAGCCUUAUCUGAAUAACUUAACAAAGUAACACAAGCCUUGAAAAAGAACAAGCCAUUUGGAAAAGGAAAGCUCUUGGUUUGUUAAUCAGUGUUUCAAGUUACUAUGGCUACAAUGUUAAGCAGUCUAACAGUCUUAGACUUCGUGCUUGGCAGGCACAGUCAUUUUUAUACCAUUUAUACAUAGAUGACAGACAUGUAAGAACAGUUCAACUGGAGACAGUUUAUCUGUACAAUGAAUACUCACAACCAAAAACAAAACACUGAAUAAUAAUUUGGAAUCAUUAAAAAGAUUCCAUCAUAUCGAAAAAUACAAUGUGUCUAGACUGAAUAAUAACUUGUAAAAAUGAAUUGUUUAUUUUAUCAUAAUAUCAAAGAUGACAGUACUAAAGUAUAGUAAACCCCUAAUCACAGUAAACUGUGUGCUCAUAUUAUUUGUCCUUCCCACCAGUUGUCAAAUACCAUUGUAUCUCUGCUACAAGGUAUAUUGUACUUUGAUGUUAGCUGGCGAAUGGGUCAAGCGCAUAGUAAUUUCGCUCGUGAACACCUAAAAAAGCUCUCCAAAAAAAGAGGAGUAGCGAGAGAAAGAGAAGAGGAAUGUGUGGCGGUACACGUUUAGAGACUGAAACAGAACAGUUUGGAUCUAAAUAGGCCUCAGCCCCCAGAGGGGAAACCUAAUUAUAGAGAAUAGACAGUAUUUCCAGCUCAUAUGAACGUGUUUAUAUCCAGAAACCAUAUAAAACCAUAUACCACAAGAAUAAUUUAUUUCAAAUAAUAGUG